rnacentral:rRNA from 1 species
GACGUAGGGCGCGAGCGUUGUCCGGAUUUAUUGGGCGUAAAGAGCGCGUAGGCGGCUUGUUGCGUCGGCUGUGAAAACCCAUGGCUCAACCGUGGGCUUGCAGCCGAUACGGGCAGGCUAGAGUUCGGUAGGGGAGACUGGAAUUCCUGGUGUAGCGGUGAAAUGCGCAGAUAUCAGGAGGAACACCGGUGGCGAAGGCGGGUCUCUGGGCCGGUACUGACGCUGAGACGCGAAAGCGUGGGGAGCGAACAGG